rnacentral:rRNA from 1 species
AUUGAACGCUGGCGGCAUGCCUUACACAUGCAAGUCGAACGGUAACAGGUCUUCGGAUGCUGACGAGUGGCGAACGGGUGAGUAAUACAUCGGAACGUGCCCGAUCGUGGGGGAUAACGGAGCGAAAGCUUUGCUAAUACCGCAUACGAUCUACGGAUGAAAGCAGGGGACCGCGAGGCCUUGCGCGGACGGAGCGGCCGAUGGCAGAUUAGGUAGUUGGUGGGAUAAAAGCUUACCAAGCCGACGAUCUGUAGCUGGUCUGAGAGGACGACCAGCCACACUGGGACUGAGACACGGCCCAGACUCCUACGGGAGGCAGCAGUGGGGAAUUUUGGACAAUGGGCGAAAGCCUGAUCCAGCCAUGCCGCGUGCAGGAUGAAGGCCUUCGGGUUGUAAACUGCUUUUGUACGGAACGAAAAGCCUCUUUCUAAUAAAGAGAGGUCAUGACGGUACCGUAAGAAUAAGCACCGGCUAACUACGUGCCAGCAGCAGCCGCGGUAA